rnacentral:rRNA from 1 species
UACGGGGGGGGCAAGCGUUGCUCGGAAUCACUGGGCGUAAAGCGCACGUAGGCGGCUUCUUAAGUCAGGGGUGAAAUCCUGGAGCUCAACUCCAGAACUGCCUUUGAUACUGAGGAGCUUGAGUCCGGGAGAGGUGAGUGGAACUGCGAGUGUAGAGGUGAAAUUCGUAGAUAUUCGCAAGAACACCAGUGGCGAAGGCGGCUCACUGGCCCGGUACUGACGCUGAGGUGCGAAAGCGUGGGGAGCAAACAGG